rnacentral:rRNA from 1 species
CCUACGGGAGGCAGCAGUGGGGAAUAUUGGGCAAUGGGCGCAAGCCUGACCCAGCAACGCCGCGUGAAGGAAGAAGGCUUUCGGGUUGUAAACUUCUUUUCUCAGGGACGAAGAAAGUGACGGUACCUGAGGAAUAAGCCACGGCUAACUACGUGCCAGCAACCGCGGCAAAACGUAGGUGGCAAGCGUUAUCCGGAUGUACUGGGUGUAAAGGGCGUGUAGGCGGGACUGCAAGUCAGAUGUGAAAACCACGGGCCCAAACUGUGGCCUGCAUUUGAAACUGUAGUUCUUGAGUACUGGAGAGGCAGACGGAAUUCCUGGUGUAGCGGUGAAAUGCGUAGAUAUUAGGAGGAACACCAGUGGCGAAGGCAGUCUGCUGGACAGCAACUGACGCUGAGGCGCGAAAGCGUGGGGAGCAAACAGGAUUAGAUACCCUUGUAGUC